CCCCGGGCUUAACCUGGGAAUUGCCCCCGAUACCGGGUAUCUUAGAGUUAUGGUAAAGGGAAGUGGAAUUUCCGGUGUAGCGGUGAAAUGCGUAGAUAUCGGAAAGAACACCAGUGGCGAAGCGCUUCCUGGACCAAUACUGACACUGAGGUGCGAAAGCGUGGGAGCAAACAGGAUUAGAGACCUGGUAGUCCCACGCCGUCAACGAUGAGAACUAGCUGUUGGGAGGCUUACCUCUUAGUAGCGAAGCUAACGCGUUAAGUUCUCCGCCUGGGGAGUACGGUCGCAAGAUUAAAACUCAAAGGAAUUGACGGGGGCCCGCACAAGCGGUGGAGCAUGUGGUUUAAUUCGAUGCAACGCGAAGAACCUUACCUACCCUUGACAUCCUCAGAACUUGUCAGAAAUGACUUGGUGCCUUCGGGAACUGAGUGACAGGUGCUGCAUGGCUGUCGUCAGCUCGUGUCGUGAGAUGUUGGGUUAAGUCCCGUAACGAGCGCAACCCUCGUCCUUAGUUGCCAGCGAGUCAUGUCGGGAACUCUAAGGAGACUGCCGGUGAUAAACCGGAGGAAGGUGGGGAUGAUGUCAAGUCAUCAUGGCCCUUACGGGUAGGGCUACACACGUGCUACAAUGGGCAGUACAAAGGGUUGCUAAGCCGCGAGGUGGAGCUAAUCCCAAAAAGCUGCUCUUAGUCCGGAUUGGAGUCUGCAACUCGACUCCAUGAAGUUGGAAUCGCUAGUAAUCGCGAAUCAGAAUGUCGCGGUGAAUACGUUCUCGGGCCUUGUACACACCGCCCGUCACACCAUGGAAGUGGAUUGUACCAGAAGCGGGUAGACUAACCUUCGGGAGGUCGCUCACCACGCCC
rnacentral:rRNA from 1 species